UACAGAGGUCUCAAGCGUUGUUCGGAUUCAUUGGGCGUAAAGGGUGCGUAGGUGGCGCCGUAAGUCAGGUGUGAAAUCCCGGGGCUCAACCCCGGAACUGCACUUGAUACUGCGGUGCUUGAGUACUGGAGAGGAGAUUGGAAUUUACGGUGUAGCAGUGAAAUGCGUAGAUAUCGUAAGGAAGACCAGUGGCGAAGGCGGCUCUCUGGGACGGUACUGACGCUGAGACGCGAAAGCGUGGGGAGCGAACAGG
rnacentral:rRNA from 1 species